CCGCGAACCAACCUUGUGAAUUCGGACGGUCCCGCCUUCCUCGCACUUCCUGGUGUGUCACGUGGUCUCAUGUUUACCCUGAGACGUCAUGACAGAAUAUCUGCCUUCAAUUGUCACAGUAAAAUCCAGGGUGGAUCCCGCCGCUCUCCCGAAGACAGCUGGGAUAGGCUCCAGCAUGCCCACAACACUCGUGAGGAUAAGCGGUAUAGAAAAUGGAUGGAUGGAUGGAUGGAUGAUUCUCUCAGCUCUGCCCCGUAAUGGUGACUUUUUUAAGGGUUGGACGAAAGCGUGCAAAGAUUGUUGGGAGAUGAUUGGCCACGAAGGUUGGUUGGAUUUCAGACUUCUUCUCAAUGGAGAAGGACACAUUUGUCGGCCGCAUUUGGAGAAGCCUUCGUGGACUUUCUAAUUCGGGUGACGUCAUGCAUCCUACAAAUGAGCACUUUCACGAUGCAGACCCCGAAUUCCGACACAACCACCGUUUCGACGCUGCUUGAUGACGUCACGUGCUCCAGCCUGGCUCGUGGGUUUGACGAAUGACGCGUUUCAACAUUUUCAUUUGCUAAAAUAACAUUUUGUUUAGCUUGUGUAUUCGAAUUGACUCAGAGGUUGAAAAACGACGAUUAUUCAAAAACGUAAUGCUUUAUUUUAUUAUCACUUUGUAUUCAUAGAGUACUUUGGUUACUAUGCUUAGUCGUAGAUAAUAUUAUCUUUAAUUAGAAAGUCACAGCAAAUGUAACUUUAAUUCUAAUUGUUGCACGAGAUCAAUAACCUGAAUAUGUUAAAUUGUUCCUAAAGGUAAAUAUUGGCCACCGUAGCAGUGCUCCUCAAGCCAAGACGUCUGUAUGGUAAUUCACUCUUUACUAUCCACUUACCGAACACCAUUUGCCCCCGUAAUACACCCACCUCAGGCUAACUUGAAUUAUAGUGGUCCCCACUAUACAGACUUUCUGUUACUUGUAUUAUACUGUAGCAUUGUAAACACUGGCCUGGUUUGUAUGUAAACUUACUGGUUGGAUUAUGUGCUGUUUCAUUGUCAUUUACUAACAGUUGUGUUUACAUUGUCGACAUGCUGCUCUAUGUGCCUUUAUUUGCCCCCAGGUACAUAGCUUUAGGGAAAAAUAAGAAUACAUUCGCACUUAAAUCCUUUCCCCUUUCAUUUGCCCUCAAGUCCCAAAAGAAACUUUAUUCAUUAAACGGGUACAAUCUCAUUGAAAAUGAAGGCCAAAUGAAGCCCAUGUUUAUUGAUUCCCAAAAAGACUUGAUCAGAAAAUACAAUCCUUUCAAACACCAGGCUGACGGUAUCAAUAACUUUGCAAGAACUGAGAACCCAAGUCCUCUACUAGAAAAUACUGAGCAGGAUGUGACAUCAGGCCAGACAUAACAGAGGUACAUACUGUGAGCAUGUCAAUGUCGUCGACGUGUUCAUAAUGGAGAAAUUACACAACGGCCUAAGUUAGCUUCAAACUAGAGGUAAAACUCUGAUCAGGGAGCUACAUGUGAAGAAACAAAUCUACGCUCACAACUAGUCAUAAUCAUACAUGAGACAAUUAGAUAUUCAUCUUACAUCUGUCAACAGUCUUUCCUCCCUUUGGCUUCAGGAGUAUUGGAGAACACAGACUGCAAACCACAUUUAGCAUACACUAGUUUGUCAUGCGCUUCAGAAGAAUCAAAAGAAACGCAUCCACUUUGAAACAGACGUGACUGUUGUGCUCGAUUCAUAUGGACAGACCCUGGACAAAUACUGAUGCAUCCAAUUGUUUUAAAGAAAUUCAGAGCAAAUCUGAGUUAAGAUAAAGGACUCAGUAGCAAGUGGUGAAUGCAUACUGUAUGUAUCCCAUUUCAUGUCGACUCAUUUCAGUCACACCAUGGAAACAACCAAUCCCCAUUGACUUAAGUGUUGUUCAGUCGUUGUCAGACACAAUGACAUCUGUGUGAGAAAACCAGAAAGACAAAUGGAAACCUGGAGCCCCUUUAAAAGCGGAACCGAUCAAUAACCGAUUUAAUCAUGUCCAUCCUCAAAAAACUAUUCAGAUGAUGCAGUGCACGCUGAGCAGUCAGACUGUAUACCAGCACCUCCCAGCCAUGGAUGUUGUGCGCCUUGACCACCGACACAAAUGUUCGUAUAAAGUGUCCUGUGGAAUCCUUUCAGUCGAAAUGUAGGGCUGUGUAAAAGAUUAUCCACACCACC